CAAUAGCGUAUAUUAAAGUUGUUGCAGUUAAAAAGCUCGUAGUUGGAUUUCGGUUGAGAGCGGCCGGUCCGCCGCUGUGCGGUGUGUACUCGUGCUUGACUCGGUUCAUCCUUGUGGGGAAGCGCAUUUCGGCAUUCAGUUGUCGAGGCGGGGAACCACAUCAUUUACUGUGAAAAAAUUAGAGUGUUUAAAGCAGGCAUUUUGCUGUGAAUACAUUAGCAUGGAAUAAUAACAUAGGACUUUGAUUCUAUUUUGUUGGUUGGAGAUCAAGGUAAUGAUUAAUAGGGAUAGUUGGGGGUAUUCAUAUUUAAUUGUCAGAGGUGAAAUUCUUGGAUUUAUGAAAGAUGAACUCAUGCGAAAGCAUUUACCAAGGAUGUUUNCAUUAA
rnacentral:rRNA from 1 species